rnacentral:rRNA from 1 species
GAAUCUUUGAACGCACAUUGCGCCCGCCAGCAUUCUGGCGGGCAUGCCUGUUCGAGCGUCAUUUCAACCCUUAAGCCCUGUUGCUUAGCGUUGGGAGCCUACCGGGAGCCCCCGGUAGCUCCCCAAAGUCAGUGGCGGAGCCGGCUCGCGCCCCAGACGUAGUAGCCCCUUACACGUCGCCUGCGGUGCGUGCCCGGCCCCCUGCCGUAAAACCCCCCCAAUUUCUUUCAGGUUGACCUCGGAUCAGGUAGGAAUACCCGCUGAACUUAAGCAUAUCAAUAAGCGGAGGAAAAGAAACCAACAGGGAUUGCCCUAGUAACGGCGAGUGAAGCGGCAACAGCUCAAAUUUGAAAUCUGGCCCUCGGGUCCGAGUUGUAAUUUGCAGAGGAUGCUUUUGGCGCGGUGCCUUCCGAGUUCCCUGGAACGGGACGCCUUAGAGGGUGAGAGCCCCGUACGGUUGGACACCAAGCCUCUGUAAAGCUCCUUCGACGAGUCGAGUAGUUUGGGAAUGCUGCUCUAAAUGGGAGGUAAAUUUCUUCUAAAGCUAAAUAUUGGCCAGAGACCGAUAGCGCACAAGUAGAGUGAUCGAAAGAUGAAAAGCACUUUGAAAAGAGGGUUAAACAGCACGUGAAAUUGUUGAAAGGGAAGCGUUUGCGACCAGACCUUUUCCUGGCGGGUCAUCCGGUGGUCCCCACCGGUGCACUUCGCGAGGUCGAGGCCAGCAUCGGUUCUCGCAGGGGGAUAAAAGCUCGGGGAACGUAGCUCCUCCGGGA